rnacentral:misc_RNA from 1 species
GUUCAGAAUCACGAUAAAGAGGAUGACUGCAGCAGGUGUUCGUCCAUACCAAAGGAAAUGUCACCUUUGUUGCAGAUCUUUGCUGGAGUAGCAACUCAUAGUUAGAAUUGAACAGAAACACACUAAAAGCCCUAUGGAGCAGAUUCUCAGAUUCUAUCUUUUCCAUUAAAUGGCAGUUAUACUUCGAAUCAUGCCCAACAACAGCAUCA